rnacentral:rRNA from 1 species
GACGAACGCUGGCGGCGUGCUUAACACAUGCAAGUCGAACGGUAAGGCCCUUCGGGGUACACGAGUGGCGAACGGGUGAGUAACACGUGGGUGAUCUGCCCUGCACUUCGGGAUAAGCCUGGGAAACUGGGUCUAAUACCGGAUAGGACCACUGCCUGCAUGGGUGGUGGUGGAAAGCUUUUGCGGUGUGGGAUGGGCCCGCGGCCUAUCGGCUUGUUGGUGGGGUGAUGGCCUACCAAGGCGACGACGGGUAGCCGGCCUGAGAGGGUGACCGGCCACAGUGGGACUGAGAUACGGCCCAGACUCCUGCGGGAGGCAGCAGUGGGGAAUAUUGCACAAUGGGCGCAAGCCUGAUGCAGCGACGCCGCGUGAGGGAUGACGGCCUUCGGGUUGUAAACCUCUUUCAGCACCGACGAAGCGCAAGUGACGGUAGGUGCAGAAGAAGGACCGGCCAACUACGUGCCAGCAGCCGCCGUAA